UGAGCCGAAGUCAGAUGCUCAACCCACUGAGCCACCCAGGCGCCCCUGUCCAUCUCCUUUAGGAGACUGUGUGUUCCUCAGAAACAAGGACCGUGUCUUAUUUCAUUUUCCUUUGUAUCCUCCACAGCCCAAAGCAUCCCCAGAGACCACUUGGUCAAACUUUUCCACUCGCUUCUGAGAACCUAAGUGCCGUGAGUUAAGCAGUUGGACCAGAAGGAGAACCCGGACCUCCUCGGUUGCAGUCCCGGGAUUCCCGGCCACGGCUGUGGCAACAAGGCAGCUCAGGUGGGACGUCAGUUGUGAAGCUGGACGUAAAUACACUCCGAGCAAGGGAGAGAUCACAGGCUGGAUGCUCUGAUGGAUGACCGACCUACGUACUCGCUGCCUCCAGAGCAGGUGCCCGGUUAGCGCCUCACUGCCUGCAUCGUCACCUGCCACGUGUUGAGGUGACAUACUUACGUGUUGGUUAAAUCACAGAUGUUGCUAACAUC